rnacentral:rRNA from 1 species
AUUGAACGCUGGCGGCAGGCCUAACACAUGCCAGUCGAGCGGAUGAAGGGAGCUUGCUCCUGGAUUCAGCGGCGGACGGGUGAGUAAUGCCUAGGAAUCUGCCUGGUAGUGGGGGAUAACGUCCGGAAACGGGCGCUAAUACCGCAUACGUCCUGAGGGAGAAAGUGGGGGAUCUUCGGACCUCACGCUAUCAGAUGAGCAUAGGUCGGAUUAGAUAGUUGGUGGGGUAAAGGCCUACCAAGGCGACGAUCCGUAACUGGUCUGAGAGGAUGAUCAGUCACACUGGAACUGAGACACGGUCCAGACUCCUACGGGAGGCAGCAGUGGGGAAUAUUGGACAAUGGGCGAAAGCCUGAUCCAGCCAUGCCGCGUGUGUGAAGAAGGUCUUCGGAUUGUAAAGCACUUUAAGUUGGGAGGAAGGGCAGUAAGUUAAUACCUUGCUGUUUUGACGUUACCAACAGAAUAAGCACCGGCUAACUUCGUG